AACUUUCAACAACGGAUCUCUAGGCUCUGGCAUCGAUGAAGAACGCAGUGAAAUGUGAUCAGUAAUGUGAAUUGCAGAAUCUCGUGAAUCAUCGAAUCUUUGCACGCACAUUGCGCUCUAUGCUAUUCCGUAGGGCAUGCCUGUCUGAGCGUCA
rnacentral:rRNA from 1 species